rnacentral:rRNA from 1 species
UAUCACGGGAGACACACGGCGGGUGCUAACGUCCGUCGUGAAGAGGGAAACAACCCAGACCGCCAGCUAAGGUCCCAAAGUCAUGGUUAAGUGGGAAACGAUGUGGGAAGGCCCAGACAGCCAGGAUGUUGGCUUAGAAGCAGCCAUCAUUUAAAGAAAGCGUAAUAGCUCACUGGUCGAGUCGGCCUGCGCGGAAGAUGUAACGGGGCUAAACCAUGCACCGAAGCUGCGGCAGCGACGCUGAUGCGUUGUUGGGUAGGGGAGCGUUCUGUAAGCCUGUGAAGGUGUGCUGUGAGGCAUGCUGGAGGUAUCAGAAGUGCGAAUGCUGACAUAAGUAACGAUAAAGCGGGUGAAAAGCCCGCUCGCCGGAAGACCAAGGGUUCCUGUCCAACGUUAAUCGGGGCAGGGUGAGUCGACCCCUAAGGCGAGGCCGAAAGGCGUAGUCGAUGGGAAACAGGUUAAUAUUCCUGUACUUGGUGUUACUGCGAAGGGGGGACGGAGAAGGCUAUGUUGGCCGGGCGACGGUUGUCCCGGUUUAAGCGUGUAGGCUGGUUUUCCAGGCAAAUCCGGAAAACUAAGGCUGAGGCGUGAUGACGAGGCACUACGGUGCUGAAGCAACAAAUGCCCUGCUUCCAGGAAAAGCCUCUAAGCAUCAGGUAACAUCAAAUCGUACCCCAAACCGACACAGGUGGUCAGGUAGAGAAUACCAAGGCGCUUGAGAGAACUCGGGUGAAGGAACUAGGCAAAAUGGUGCCGUAACUUCGGGAGAAGGCACGCUGAUAUGUAGGUGAAGUCCCUCGCGGAUGGAGCUGAAAUCAGUCGAAGAUACCAGCUGGCUGCAACUGUUUAUUAAAAACACAGCACUGUGCAAACACGAAAGUGGACGUAUACGGUGUGACGCCUGCCCGGUGCCGGAAGGUUAAUUGAUGGGGUCAGCGCAAGCGAAGCUCUUGAUCGAAGCCCCGGUAAACGGCGGCCGUAACUAUAACGGUCCUAAGGUAGCGAAAUUCCUUGUCGGGUAAGUUCCGACCUGCACGAAUGGCGUAAUGAUGGCCAGGCUGUCUCCACCCGAGACUCAGUGAAAUUGAACUCGCUGUGAAGAUGCAGUGUACCCGCGGCAAGACGGAAAGACCCCGUGAACCUUUACUAUAGCUUGACACUGAACAUUGAGCCUUGAUGUGUAGGAUAGGUGGGAGGCUUUGAAGUGUGGACGCCAGUCUGCAUGGAGCCGACCUUGAAAUACCACCCUUUAAUGUUUGAUGUUCUAACGUUGACCCGUAAUCCGGGUUGCGGACAGUGUCUGGUGGGUAGUUUGACUGGGGCGGUCUCCUCCUAAAGAGUAACGGAGGAGCACGAAGGUUGGCUAAUCCUGGUCGGACAUCAGGAGGUUAGUGCAAUGGCAUAAGCCAGCUUGACUGCGAGCGUGACGGCGCGAGCAGGUGCGAAAGCAGGUCAUAGUGAUCCGGUGGUUCUGAAUGGAAGGGCCAUCGCUCAACGGAUAAAAGGUACUCCGGGGAUAACAGGCUGAUACCGCCCAAGAGUUCAUAUCGACGGCGGUGUUUGGCACCUCGAUGUCGGCUCAUCACAUCCUGGGGCUGAAGUAGGUCCCAAGGGUAUGGCUGUUCGCCAUUUAAAGUGGUACGCGAGCUGGGUUUAGAACGUCGUGAGACAGUUCGGUCCCUAUCUGCCGUGGGCGCUGGAGAACUGAGGGGGGCUGCUCCUAGUACGAGAGGACCGGAGUGGACGCAUCACUGGUGUUCGGGUUGUCAUGCCAAUGGCACUGCCCGGUAGCUAAAUGCGGAAGAGAUAAGUGCUGAAAGCAUCUAAGCACGAAACUUGCCCCGAGAUGAGUUCUCCCUGACUCCUUGAGAGUCCUGAAGGAACGUUGAAG